rnacentral:rRNA from 1 species
GACGAACGCUGGCGGCGUGCUUAACACAUGCAAGUCGAACGGAAAGGCCCUGCUUUUGUGGGGUGCUCGAGUGGCGAACGGGUGAGUAACACGUGAGUAACCUGCCCUUGACUUUGGGAUAACUUCAUGACACUGGGGCUAUUACCGGAUAGGAUCUCCUGCUGCUUGGUGGGGGUUGGAAAGUUUCGGCGGUUGGGGAUGGACUCGCGGCUUAUCAGCUUGUUGGUGGGGUAGUGGCUUACCAAGGCUUUGACGGGUAGCCGGCCUGCGAGGGUGACCGGCCACAUUGGGACUGAGAUACGGCACAGACUCCUACGGGAGGCAGCAGAGGGGAAUAUUGCACAAUGGGCGGAAGCCUGAUGCAGCAACGCCGCGUGCGGGAUGACGGCCAUCGGGUUGUAAACCGCUUUCGCCUGUGACGAAGCGUGAGUGACGGUAAUGGGUAAAGAAGCACCGGCUAACUACGUG